GACGAACGCUGGCGGCGUGCUUAACACAUGCAAGUCGAACGUGAUUUUUGUGGAAAGCCCUUCGGGGACGGAAAUGAAAUGAAAGUGGCGAACGGGUGAGUAACACGUGAGCAACCUACCUUACACAGGGGGAUAGCCGUUGGAAACGACGAUUAAUACCGCAUGAGACCACAAAGCCACAUGGCUUAGGGGUAAAAGAUUUAUCGGUGUAAGAUGGGCUCGCGUCUGAUUAGCUAGUUGGAAGGGUAAAGGCCUACCAAGGCAACGAUCAGUAGCCGGUCUGAGAGGAUGAACGGCCACAUUGGAACUGAGACACGGUCCAAACUCCUACGGGAGGCAGCAGUGGGGAAUAUUGCACAAUGGGGGGAACCCUGAUGCAGCGACGCCGCGUGAGCGAAGAAGGUUUUCGAAUCGUAAAGCUCUGUCCUAUGAGAAGAUAAUGA
rnacentral:rRNA from 1 species